ensembl:lncRNA
UUUAAUAAUAAUUAAGUUGAAAUUAUCUUUAACCCGUUAUGUACUCAGGUCUAGAAGCAUUAGUGUGACUAUUUUAAAGUCAGAUGUGUAUAAUUGUGUAUAAUAUGUAUGUGGAUACACUCACAAACAGAAAAUCUACCAAAAAUAUCUAUGAAUAUCGAUACAUAAGAUGUAUAAUACUACUGUUUUAACCCCCCACCUCAAUCAAGCAACAUUUAAAAAGUAAAAUAGUGAAAUGUUAGCUCUAUUUGCUGAAGUUUAGGCAUGUUGAGAUAACUUCAACAUUAACACAAGCAAAUAUUUGGUUAAUUAUGAACUGCUCAACCUGGAGCAUGUCUGCAAACUCAUAAUAAAGGGGGGGGACGCCUAAUUUGCAUAAUCAUAUUGGACAGCUGCCUUGCGCAUGUGCGAUUCACUUUCAGUCUAGACCCGUUUCACUUCUCUGCUAUGACUGCAGCUGGGUCACUGCGCGAGCCGCGAGGCUGAAGCCUAGUUUAUGAUUCUGCGUUUUCAGAGCGAUGCAAGGAAACACAGACGCAAGAGCCCCUUGCGUGUCCCUUGCGUGCCUUUUCACACCUCCUUGUGUGCGUCGACCCAUUUUUCUAGGCUUGCGUCAACGCAAGCCUCCUGCAGCGCACGAGGCUGCGAUUGGUCUGCUAACUACAUCCUUUACGGAGUCUCACAUUUCCGCUUUCAUAGCACAAUACCGCCAUUAUUAAAACGAGGAAUGUUUAUGAGAGAACGGAUCAGAUUGAAGAGCUUUUGUCGAAAGAAAUGCGUAAAUAUGACAACUUAUACAGCCCGUCAUUGGCGGACUUUAGGGACGCGCGGAUGGCCUCCCGAUUCCCGACACGUUUGUCCCAUAUCUUCCUCAACAACUUUGUGCACCCCUCUACCAGCAAACCGACGUUUGCAGAGAUCUCCCUCCAUGAAUCGGAGGCCAUCCGCGCGUCCUUAUAGUCCGCCAAUAAUGGGUUGUAGAAGUGGUCAUAUUUACGGACAAAAGCUCUUCAAUCUGCUUCAUUCUCUAGUAAACAUUCUUUGUUUUAAUAAUGGUGGUAUUGUGCUAUGAAAACGGAAAUGUGAGACUCCGUAAAGGAUGUAGUUAGCAGACCAAUCGCAGCCUUGCGGGCUGCAAGAGGCUUGCGUAGCUUUUGAUGCAAGCCUAGAAAAAAGUUCGUCCGCUUAAGCAAACACCCUUGUUUUCUUCCCGCGGUUGGGAGCGUACUCUUGUGUGCGUGCGUGUGUCUGUUUGAGGAAGGAAGGUCUCUAGGAAGAAGGGAGAUGGCGGGAGAGCAUGAUAAAAAGCGAAGGAUGGAGCAAAAUUAGGAGGCUAAGGGAAAGGAAAAGGAGGAAAUCUAGGCCUCCCUUUUUUCUAUCUACCAACUGAACCUCCCUUUCCAUUUCCCAUUUCAAUUUACCUCUUGCCUUUUAUCCAAUUGGCCACCAUGCUGACACUUCUCAUCUCAGUUCCGUGACCGGAGAAUAAGGGGAACAAAAUGUUGUUGCUCCAUAUACAAGCAAAUGUUAUGCUAAAGUGAUGGGUUCUCAUCAUGCCCUAACCUACAAUGAUGCUGGGAAACGGCGGAAGAGGAAGAGCAUGCCCCAUCUCCGUCCCGCCCUCCCCUAAUUUGCAUUGCAUGCUGAAAUGCAUGUACUGGGCCCAUUAACCAAGGGGCCGUGCUGUGUUUUGGUUGUAGACGAGGGCAGGGGGGCUGUCAUAUCUUUUGAUUUGCUUGAUAUGAAAACAGUGGUGGUUUCCAAUCAAUGGAACCUGUGGUUUAUUUGGGGUGAAAUGAGAUUUUUUUUAUUGGUAUGUUUGCAUCUUGAGGCAAUUUUCCAGCUCUAUUGUGGAAGACCCGGAAGCAUCCUCGCUUGAUUUUACAGUAAAUUUGUUAUGGGGCCAAUACGAGAGUUGAAAGUGAAUAUGGUUAUUUAUUUACAUGCAUAAACAAGCACACUUUGUUAGACACAUCUGAUGAUUGUUGUAACGGAGAUCCCGGCUGGCUAUAUAUGCUGGAGCCUUAUGUGAAGGAAGCUUAUCAGAAUGAUUAGGCGGAAGGAUGGGUGGCCUACCAGCGGCUUUACAAGUCACUGCAAUGGCAAAUAUAAUUUUGGAAUUAGAUGACACUCUGAGAAUGGUCUCAGAGUGUCAUCACAGUUUAAAUUAAAACGUCUUCCGGCCGAGCUUCCCCUAUAGAAGGCCAAACAGAGCCAGAAAAAAACAGCGAAAAACUAAUUUCUAACAAGAAUAUUGUGUACUCAUCACAAUCAAAUAUAUGAAUACUUCAGUGUUUAAAACUUUAGAGUCUUUGAAAAGACUCUAAACAAAACUCAAGUCAUAAAAUAUGAUUUUCAGAUUAGUCCAGAAAUGUGCACUUGGCAAUGCAUUUGUAACAUUUACACAGCAAAGCAAGAAUACCAAACCACUUUCUCUCAGACCAACCUUGCCAAAACCAAACAAAAAUAGUCACCAAGCAUCCUGCAUAUGAAUCAUAAAUGCUAUUAGCCAGUGUGAAAUUCAAUCAUUCACAUCAAUAGAAUUAUUAAUAAUCGCUAAGAUAAUUCACAAAAAAAUUUAAAUAACGGGGCACCACCCUGAAAAGGGACUAAUAACCAAACUAUAAAUAAAGUCUCAUAAUUGGUAUUUACUCAUUAAGAGCAAGAAAUUGAAGGUUUGAGUUUGUGCGUGUCACGGUUUUGGGUUAAAUGGUAAAUGGACUGUACUUGUAUAGCACUUUUCUAGUCUUCCGACCACUCAAAGCGCUUUAACACUACAUGACAUCAUUCAUACACAGUACACAGUGACACCUGCCCAUCAGUAACUAACAUUCAUACGCUGUAGUCGCAGCUACAGGAGCAAUGUUGGGUUAAGUGUCUUGCCCAAGGACACAUCGAAAUGGGGGGUUAGCCAGGACUGGGAUUAAACCCACAACCCUCUGAUUGGAGGACGACCGUGCUCCCCACUCACCCACAGUCGCCCGUCAAUGUCUGAUUUUAUUUUGUAGUUUCUUGCCUCUGUCCUCCCUGGGUCAUGUCACUUGUCCUGUCCUCCUCUGUGAUUGUCUGUCAUGUCAUGAUUGUUUCCACCUGUGUCCAAUCACCUGCACCUCCCUAGUGUAUUUAAGCCAUGUGUGUCUGUUGUCACUUGUCGCGUCAUUGUCUUUUGUCACGCAUGUCCCUGUCAAUCGUCUGGUCUGCCGCUCGUUCCUGCCUGCCUUUUUGCCCUUAGUUCCUGUGUGUUUUUGCCCGUUGGCCUUUUGCUUUUUGCCUGUUUUCACUCUUAAAGUCCUUUUUGUUUUCGAACUCUGUGUUUGAGUCCAGCCUUCCCACGCACCCCUGACAGAAUGACGUGACCAGUAAAGGACUCGGCAAAGUUUUUUCCCCGGGAAGAGUUCAGGGGAACCCGUCUGGCUAUGAGCGGUCCACACAAUCCUCGGCUGGCCAUCCGUAAUGGGGGAGAGGUCCUCCCCGGGAUUUCAUAUGAAUACAUGUACUACUCUGUCCCCUUCCGGAGCCCUUAGUAGGCAUCUGGGUCGCCCCUCUCACCAUCCGCCGCCCACCACGUGGUCUUCAGAGGCCAUUUCGUGGUCGUCUGGCGGCGAUACUCACUGGGAGCGGGUGAUGGACCUUGCGGUCCAACUCCAGGCCACCUACGCUCUCCACGCUCGGUCGCAGCGCAGAAUGUCCAGCGCUGGGCCGCAGCGACAUCCCGACCCUGCUGGGUCGCAGCGCACAACGUCCAGCGCUGGGCCGCAGCGACAUCCCGACCCUGCUGGGUCGCAGCGCACAACGUCCAGCACUGGGCCGCAGCAGCUUCCCGUCCCGACCCAAGCCCACGACCCCCGAGCCAGCGCCACGAUCAAUGCCCCCGGUACCGGCGCCACGAUCCAUGCCCCAGACCCCGGUACCGGCCCCACGAUCCAUGCCCCAGACCCCGGUACCGGCCCCACGAUCCAUGCCCCAGACCCCGGUACCGGCCCCACGAUCCAUGCCCCAGAUCCCGGUACCGGCCCCACGAUCCAUGCCCCAGAUCCCGGUACCGGCCCCACAAUCCAUGCCCGCGACCCGGCCUGUACCGGCCCCACGAUCCAUGCCCCCGGCCCCACGAUCCAUGCCCGCGACCCGGCCUGUACCGGCCCCACGAUCCAUGCCCCCGACCCGACCAGUACCGGCCUCACGUACCAUGCCCCCGACCCGACCAGUACCGGCCUCACGUACCAUGCCCCCAACCCGACCAGUACCGGCACACGUUCCAAGCCCCCGACCCCGGUCCGGCCCCACGACUCAUGGCCCCGACUCGGCCUGUACCGGCCCCGAGACUCGCCCCCGGACUCAGGCUCCCUCCCUCCCAUCCCGUGGUCCUCUCCCACCCUCCCUUUGGUGGCUUGGGGGCCGUCUGGGAUCCGGCCCUUGAGGGGGGGGCUAUGGCGGGGGCUCCGGAGGUGUUCCGUGUCCCCCAGCCGGAGGUUUCCAGUGUUUCCCAGGCGGCCAUCCCAGAGACGUUCAGUGCCCUGCAGUCGGCGCUCCGGAGCCGGCCAACUGACAGUCUGCCGGGCCGACCCCCUGAGGCUCCCCGGCCGUUUGCCUGUCCGCCGGGCCGACCCCCGGAGGCUCCCCGGCCGUUUGACUGCCUGCCGGGCCGCCCGCCAGAGUUCCCCCGGACGGCCUACCAUUGUCUGGUUUCCCUCCCUCCCGCCCCUUGUCUGUUCCUGGUCAGAUUAGGGCCAUCUGGAAUUUGGCCCUUGAGGGGGGAGUUCUGUCACGGUUUGGGGUUAAUGUCUGGUUUUAUUUUGUAGUUUCUUGCCUCUGUUCUCCCUGGGUCAUGUCACUUCAUGUCCUGUCCUCCUGUGAUUGUCAUGAUAAUUUCCACCUGUGUCCAAUCACCUGCACCUCCCUAGUGUAUUUAAGCCAUGUGUGUCUGUUUUGACUAUUAAAGUCCUUUUUGUUUUCGAACUCUGCGUCCUGCCUUUCCACGCAUCCCUGACAGUACGGUCUGUUUCCUUCCAGCAUUACAGUACACAUAAGAAAUCACAGAAAACUGCUGCUUAAAGUAUAACAGGGUUUAUUAUCUUCCAAUAACAAUAUAUAAGAACAUUCAUUCAUGCAUGUGUAGUGGAGGUGUGUGAGUUAAGGAGGGGAGAGCUCAGGAAGGGAGCUUGCUGCACGCUAAACUACCGACCCCAUGGCCAAUGUGUUGCUAGCAGGCUGUGUUUAUACACCACGUGUGUUCCUUACAUUUAAACCUCUGUCUGUAGGUAAAUCUAUGUGUGGAGGGACAGGUGUGUGUGUGUGUGUGUGUGUGUGUGUGUGUUAGUAAGUUAGAAAUCAAAGAAAGCAGAUCUCAUUCAGAACAGUGAGGCACGAUAGUGGUUAACUUUAUCACGUCACACAGUUCAAAAACAUACAAUCUCUUGUUAAACAAUACAUUAAAUACCAAAACAAAAAUAACGACACAUGCUAAUCUAACUUCUGCCCAGACUUCGCCUUACUGUGUGUUGAUGGGGUUGUCUGUUUCCUCGAGUUUCAUUUAACUGUGUCCAACCAGUCCAUCCCUUUUUUGCAGGGAUCGAUUUGGGAUUAUGAGGACUGUUGGGUUUCUUGGUGGCACAAAAGCUAUUGGUGCUCUUGUGUGCUCUUAACACACGUUGUAUCCAAGGGGGUAGUUUUCCUUCUUGGUGAGCUGCUUGGGCCAGAAGUGGGUACUGGAAAGCCGGACUUCUCUGGAGCAGCUAGAAAAUGGUUGGAGAGGCCCGAAUCCUUAAUCCUGAGGCCAGUCUGGAAAGUUGAUUUGAAAAGGCUGUCUUCAACCUCUCAUCGACACAGGUCGAUUCGGAAAAAUGUAUCAGUCCGGAAAGGGAUUUGAAGAGACUCUGUUGCCUCAUCCUUACACUGACCAGAGUCAGUUCGGAAAGGGAUUUGAGAGAUACUGUCUUUAACCUCACACCGACCUGAGGUUAGCUCAGAAUGAAAGUUUCGACGAGGGACCUCACAGAACACACCAGGGGGACCCCUGUGGUGUCUGUGGCUUGGCCAAUCCACCCAGAGAGAGAAAUCACACCUGGGUGUGAAGGCACAUUCCUUUCUGGGGUUUUAUGUCCUGCAGCAGAACACUGCAUUCAAAAGUCGGCCUUACUUUUACGCAAUGGUGGGAGCCCAACGUCAGACACUCUCACACAUUAAUUAAUGAAACAUUCUUACGUUCACUAUUGAAAUCUCUCACUCACUCACUCACACACUCACACAUACAUACAUACAUACUCUGUAAAACUAUGCACAGACAUUUAUAAAACAUUUUACAUACUAGUCUGAAAUACAUACUCGCUGGGGCAGCUGGUGGAUAUUUUUUUUGGUAGGGCCAGCCAAUCAGGUCAGUAAACAUCCCAGUAUUAUUCAAUGCAAAAAAGGCUAUUAGACAUGCAUUAUUACUUUGCAGUUAAAUACAUAACAUUUAUUCCAACAUCAGGACAUCUUAUUCAAAGAAUUUAGUAUAUUAAUAGAUGAUAUAUUCAGAAUAUGAUAUAACUUCCAUAUCGUAACUAUUAUAAUAAAGGAUAAAUAAAUUACAAUGAAAUAUAUUUAUAAAUAUAUAAAAUGUGUAUAUAUAACGUUAUAUAUAUUGAGAUGCAGCUUUGAUGUUGAGGAAAGAACAAAAGCCACACAAAACUUCGCACAAUAAAUCAUUUUGGAUAAGAUGUGCCUGUUUUCAUCCACGUCCUGGUUGUAUGUCCUCACCGCAGUCCCGUAUAUUGCAUAUUUAUUUAUAAUAUGGGUAGAUGAAAUCAAGCGUUCUGAUUCAUUGAGAGCGAGUCACGGGGUUUACUGAAUUGAGCCAUAAUGUACCUGUUUACAUUCUGAGUGUUCCAUAUCAGUGCGCAAUCAAAAUAACAGUUAGAUUUUGCGCAGCCGUUGCACGAUGCGUAAAACACAUGAACCAGACUAUGGGAUAGAGGUGUGUACAGACAUUACAUUGGCGACAUACAGAGGCAUUAAUUGUACAUGCUUAAAUUGAGCAGCUCAACCGGGUUUAUGAGGGAUUGCACAAUCCGAGAGGAGGCGCAGCUCGCCGCCCGCGUCUCCCCGUAUUUGAAGAGGUGAAUACACAGAAUAAUGUAUGUAUAUAUAUAUUAUUUUUAUUUGGCUGACACCUAUUAAAACCAGCAUACAAGCAAACACACAUAUAUAUAUACAAUUGUGAUAUCAUUAUAUGUAGUGUUUUUUUUUGUUAAUAUAGAAUAUAUAUAUAUUAUAUAUAUAAUAUAUAAUAAAUAAUAAUCUCAAUUUUAAACGGCAGUUUACAAAAGAUCAAUUUACCUCUUUGAGUAAGGUCUUUCUUUUGUUGUCUCUUUGGGCUUUUGUCUUGUUAUUUUGAGUCCACGACCCAUUAUAGGACAACAAUUUAGAUGAAACUGGGACUUUGGUCUAGUUAUUUUCGAUAAACAGAGUCCCAGAUCCAUUACAGGACAACAAUUUUGAUGAAACUGGGACUAAAAUUCUGCAGCAUCUCAAAUUUACAAAUGAUGGUUGGGAAUUUGAAUGCACGACGCAUGCUUAUACAAGGUAAAGGCUGGUGCAUACUUCUGAGUCUUUCAUGUGAAGGAAAGCGGAGGAGGGAGGAUGGGGAGGUUAAAGUGUAAUGGGAGGGGGACCUAAAUGGAGAUGGAGGGUGUAAUAAGGGGCCUUAAGGCUGGCGCGUGCUUCGGCGUCUGCGUCGUUGCGUCGAUGCACUCGUUUCAAUUCAUGGUUCUAAAAGGUGUGUGUUGCAGAGCAAUUCACUGCCAGAACAAUAUGUGGAGUAACGUUUUUUGUUGAAGAUGACCUACAGAGUUACGUCUUUGGUGUGGAAGUCGUUGGUUUGUUUAUUUAUUUAUCAUAGACUUUAUUGCCCCGUGCAUCGCCACUGUUGCUUUUCAUCGCAGACACAUUUGUCCCAUAUUUUCCUCCACAACUUUGUGAACCUCUCGACCGCCAAACCGACGUUUCCGGAGAUCUCCCUCCAUGAAUCAGAGGCCAUCCACGCGUCCUUUUAGUCCGCCAAUGACGGGUUGUAUAAGUUGUCAUAUUUACGCAUUUCUUCUGACAAAAGCUCUCAAUCUGAUCCCUUCUCUCGUAAACAGUCUUCUUUUAAUAAUGGCAGUAUUGUGCUAUGAAAACAGUAAUGUGAGACUCCGUAAAGGAUGUAGUUAGCAGAUCAAUCAGAGCCAUGCGGGCUGCAGGAGGCUUGCUUUCGACGCACGCAAGCACUUAAGGAGGUGUGAAAAGGCACGCAAGGGGCUCUUGCGUCUGCGUGUCCUUGCAUCUCUCUGAAAACGCAGAAGGAUAAACUAGGCUUGAGGGACAGUAGUCAUUAUUUGUUUGGGUAUUUACUUGUGCCAGUAUUGCAAUUAAGAGUAAAGGGGAUUGGUUCUUUAAACUUUUGCGGGGACUUUUAAGUGGUCUGUAUGCACAGGUCAGAUGGAAAAUAUUUUGAAAAUGAAAGUUUCGUUAUUGGAUUUGUUUACAGUCAAGCAGUGCCUUUUAGCGGUGCUGAUAUUGAUCUAUGGUGAUACCUUUCUUUCGCAGACGCCGCAUGGUGGGUUUAAUUGUGUACUUGAGUACCGCCAGGGCUGUAGUGGAGGGUAAACGCACGUAAACGCCGUUUACGCACCUCUAGAAUUUUGGAAAUAGCGUUUACGCCCCUAUAAAUAGCGUUUACGCACCUCAAAGUUCCCUUCUUCCGUUGGAAUAAUCCGAAAUAAACUUGGUGUAAUUUUAAAACAGCCAAGACUACGUUUCCUAUUGUUGAACAUAUAAACGGCGUAGUCUGAAUCAUUUUCAUCUGCGCUGUAUUACGGUCUGUGAGCAUCCAAUCAGUGCCUUGCGGCUGCAGCAGCGACACCGAUCAGGAUCCAGGAGGUGUGUAAACACAUACACGUUGUGGAUCAGCCCAGUGGUCCCCAACCUUUUUUACCUCACGGACCGGUUUCAUGUCAGACAAUAUUUCGCGGACCGGUCGAGAAGGUCCGACGGGGGGGGUGUAGUAGUCGUUGCGGGCGGAACGACCGACGGGGGGGGUAGUAGUCGCGCGAUCUGUGUUCGCUGGUCGUGCACGGUAAAAGGACAAGAAAAACGCCUGGUGACGCGUAGAUUAGAGAACAAGUCGGUUCUCAAUGUGAAAAAAAACAUGCUGUAUAGGCUAUUUAUGAUGACAUAGGUAGUACAUGAGUGUUCCUUUAACUUAUGUUGUCAGUGUAAUUGACAGGCUGCUUAACUGGUUAACUCUUAAAUUCAACAUAUUUUUUCAGGCAGUGAUAGGACAGGCAGUGAUGCAGAGAGCACAGGGAGAGGAGAAACACCAGGUUGAAUAGAGAGAGGAGAACGGCUGAUGAGAGAACGAAAUCAUGACAGUGGAGAACCAAAGAGUGGAGAAGAGGAAAGGGGAGGGAAUGAAAGAAGACCAACAGAGAAUGAAGAAACAGAGAAAGGGGAGACCGAGAAAGAUGAAAUAGAGGGAGGAGAUGAAGAAACAAGUAGUAAGAGAGGAGUAAGAGAAGAAAGAGGGGCAGGAGAGAUGGAGUGUGGAAAAUCUGAAUUAGAAUCUGAAGUAGAGGGAGAUACAGAGGAAGAAGAAUCUGAGACUGAAGACACAGUGAGAGGAGAAACAGAGAGCAGAUGCCACCCACAUAUCUGGACAGAAAACAUAUUGCAAAAUAGCCAGGACAGCCUUACAGAGUCGCGGCGCUUUGUGUUGCGUUGCUUCGCAUCGCGUCGAGGUCUGUAUGAUCACAAAAUUCAAAGUUUACCCACCUCUAAUUUUACCACUACAGCACUGAUUGUUAGAAUAUUUUGUCAAUGAAUGGGGGUAUUUUAGACACUUAUUUAAUUGUUCAUUUUAUGUUAAACACAAAACUAUACACAUUUGAUCAUCUAAGACAGACUGUCUUCAACAGGGGGUCUGCGAAGGUACUGCAGGGGGGUCGCGAAAUUUUUGGUUGAUAAGACCAUUUUUUUAAACUAUUUUUUCCCCCACAAAUGUAAAUGUCUUCAGAAUCAGAAUUUUAUUUAUGGUCUUUAAAUACACAUUAACAUGAAUCCAACAUAUUGAAGCGAACGGAUAAAUUGAUGGAGAAGACUUUAUCUGUCAGUGCGCAACACACACAUUCAGCUUCCCUCAGCAGCUCUCAAGCUGGGCACCGGUUCACUCACAGCUCCUUUCAUGCGAAUACGACAGCGCAGGCACCAGCCAAUCAGAUCGCGUUUAUGCUCACGUCUAAAAAGCGUGAAGAUCAAAAAUAAAAGAUGGUGGACCAAACUCCGUAGAAUAGGGGGUCCCUGCUCCACCUCGCCAUCAGUUUGGGGGACCAUGGCUUGAAAAACGUUGAAGACCAUUCCACGGAGUGGAACAUGUUGAACUAGCGACCCUUCCUGCUUCCCUCGUGCACUUGUGUUUGAAGUGCCAACAAUCUCCCCACAUUUAGCCAGGAUGUUUACAAAACACUGUCUUUUAGGAACACAGUGGUUGUCCUCUGCAGCCUCUGUGCCCACAGGGUAACGUUAGAUGUUGAGAUGGAAGUAGCCUAGCAGCUAGUUAAGUUAUCCGUUUGCCACUCACCCCCCUUCGGUUAGACCUGUGGAAUUCCUUCGCACAAGAAUUCCUUCCCACAGUUCUCUACUGUAUGCCGCUGUUUUACUUCAAAUUAAAUGCAAAAAGCUCUCUUGCUACCGUCUUGCUUGUUUAUUUUCCGCAACCAACUUCCGACUAGACCGGAAGUAAUCAAAGUUACGUUAACUACUUUCAAUUAUUUUAUCUUGCAUUAAUCUUGGCCACAUUAAUCGCAUAGAUUAACAGGUUUAUGUUGACAGCAUCAUGCCCAGUCCUUUUAUGUAGUUUGUCUGUGACUCACCUGUUCUCUUGUGUCAGGCACCUCUCCCCACUGUGUGAUAACUGAUUGUUUCCACCAGUGUCUCGUUGUUUGCCCUCCCUUGUGUAUUUAGUCUGUGUCAAUCCUUGUUCUGUGCCAGUUUGUCUCAGUCUGUACCAGUGAGCUUACCAACAAUUUCCUAGUGUGUCGUCGCCGUGCAAUUUGGAUACCGUUGCCUGUCUGAUUACCCGAGUACCGGGAAAAUAAUGUGACCGGAUGAGUGUUUUCCCCUCCCUCUUACCUGCACACAGGGGUGUGGACCAGCAUACCUGGGGCUAAUUCCGAUUGAUUGGGAGAGGCGGGGCCAUUACAUAAGCCUGUGGUGUGUGGACUCGCUUUGUUGUCUUCUCCUGCUGGGUGUCUAUGGAGACGUGUCCGGGAGGCGUGCUUCAUGUUUUGGCCGCUGCCCUAGGUCAUCAUUCUGCUGCGGUGUGGUAAGGGCACUUUCCCCAUCUUUUGUGCCUUUUUAUUGUCCUGUGUCGCCGUGUAUGCGGCACCAAUGUGCAUUCUUUCAUAUAGCGACCCUGUCUUGGUCAUGGAUGUCCCCGUGUGGGUGGAUGUAUGCCUGGACUGCUGGUGUUUGGUGUCUCAGUACGAUGCAUGCUUCUCUCUUUCGACACAUUUGGGCGUUAUUAAAAUCUGACAGUCUUAAUUGUUAUAGUGUGGGCCGCUGUCUGUGUGUGCGAGGUGGGUGCCACUGCCGGGGUCCGUGGGCGGCCUGUACUGUAAUUCGGUAAGUCGCUGUGUUUGCCUGUUUGCUGUACAUUCAUUGCGGUCGUGUUCUAACGGUGUGUUUUAAAACACAGCUGGACCGGGCUGCAGCCUUGGACAUGCUAUUGUGGGGCUAUCCUGGUGCCACGACUAAUUAAAGGGCCAAUAUUCCCCAGAGCGUUCUCCCUCCCCCACUGAACCUGUUCUUGAUACCGGCUGAAACCCAUCUGGUAAAACUUCUGACUACACAAGCAAUCUGGAAACUGGUACAAAAAUGUCUCUCUAUAGUGUAUUAACUGUUGUGUAUGUGUAUAUAUUGCAUGUAGGUCUUUUCCUUUUUUUUAUUUUGUUUGCAUCUUCCUUUUUAUGCAUGCCGGUUUAUUGAUUUGAAUUGUUUUGUUUAUUUUCUUAUCACUGAUCUACUCCUUAACAAAUAACAUAUUGUCAUUUUAAAAUGAAUAUUUAACUAAAUAAAACCGUAUAUUUUUAUAAUUCCCUUAUGGUCUCUGACCCCUGAUUUUGGUGAACGGCUCUGUGUGCCUUAACGUGAAUGGUCUUGGGCCUAUCCCAAGUGGCGUUGUUGGACAUUGUUAUUUUCCUUGAGUGUCAUAGGCCACUCGUAUUGCCACAAUAAGUAAGAAAAUAAAUGUAGUUUGACUACACUGUAACCACAUCCAUCUUUAGAGCGAUCUCUAGCUUUCCGCAUCUGGUGACCACUUCUUCCAUUCUGCUCAGUCCUGUGUAUGCGGAAUCUGAAUAACACUUCAUUGCCUUGUAAAAAAGAUCUUUCCACUGUUAAUGUGGGAUCCACGCUCAGAACAAUCACAUAUGGCCUCAGUUGUCUCCAAGUUGACAUCUCCUUGUGCCGCUUGUAUAGCACUAUUCUCUUUGACAGUUCGAUCGUCUUAAUCUUCCAUAAAAAUGUUACCCCAAAUUACACUACCAGGCAAUAGCCAUAGUCAUAUGGGCAACAUGCAAGCGGAUGUAAAGGACUUUGCUUCUGUUGAUUAAACUGAAAAGUCCAUUCCAAAGAGUGACUGGCAGGAUAUAACAGUGUGGUUAACACACACCAGAGGACCAUAUUGAGUGUGUGUAUAUUGAAUGAAAAGGUACAGUCUGCAGUUAACUGUAUAAUACAUAUAUUUUUGACCAUGCAUUUACAGGGACUUAUGGAAAGACAAUCCCUUUAUAUGUAUUAGAUCCCUAUAAAAACAGAACAAAUUUGCUUUUCUAAUGCUGUUGCCACAUAAAAUGUCAUCUAUUCCCAGUUUGAUUUAAAUCUUUAUUUUGUGUGCCUGGUGAAAACAAAGCAUCAAAUUGUGUGUGUAAUAUAUAGCCACGUUCAUACAUUAACAUUAGGACAUACAGCUGGAUUAAAGUCACUAAAACCCAUAUAUACAUAAAGUGUAUGUCUCUAGGGCAGUGGUUCUUAACCUGGGUUCGAUCGAACCCCAGGGGUUCGGUGAGUCAGUCUCAGGGGUUCGGCGGAGGUCAAGACACACACCCGACUCAUAUGAUUCGUGAUUACACGCCCCGCUUGGCCAUCAUUGGCUGCAGGAGAUCACGCAACAUCGCUUGGCCUAUCUGUGCUGCAGGGAAUUUGGCACGCUCAGUAGUCAAAUUGUGACUGUCGUGAUGGUACGUCGUGUGAUUUCUUUCUUAAUAUUUUAAUCCCUUCAUACUAACUAUGACGAGCAAAAAAAGAAAGUGGUCGGACGAAUAUGUACAAUAUGGAUUCACAUGUAUAACUGAACAUGAUGGGAGUCGGCGUCCUAACUGCAUGAUUUGCAAUGCCAAGUUGAGCAAUUCUAGUCUAGCACCGGCAAAACUAAGAACACUUCCUUAAGCUGCAUGGAGAUGGACAAUACAAGAACACAACGCUCGCUGAAUUCAAGGUGAAGAGAGCCAGAUUCGAUGAAAAGGCUACUCUGCCUGUUCUCGGCUUUGUACCCAUCAACAAACCGAUCCUCACAGCAUCGUACAAAGUUGCUUACCUGAUCGCAAAGCAGGGCAAACCACACACCAUUGGUGAAACACUCAUAAAACCAGCUGUGUUGAAGAUGGCGAAUAUCAUGCUGGGAAAAGCGGCUGAAGUUCAGUUAUCCCAAAUUCCUCUUUCAAAUGACACCAUUAGUGACAGAAUAGAGGACAUGAGCAAAGACAUCUUGGCUCAAGUAGUUGCAGAUCUGAUUUCAAGCCUGGCAAAAUUCAGCCUUCAACUGGACGAGACCACAGACGUUUCCAAUCUAAGCAAGCUUGCUGUAUUUGUGCGCUAUGUGAAAGACAACGUGAUAAAGGAAGAUUUUUUAUUUUGUAAGCCUCUUACGACAACAACUAAGGCAGCCGAUGUGAAGAAACUUGUGGAUGACUUCAAAGACAACAAUCUUUUGUGGGAUAUGGUUUCUGUAGUUUGUUCGGAUGGAGCUCCAGUCAUGCUGGGAAGAAAGUCUGGUUUUGGUGCGCUAGUGAAAGCCGAUGCACCACACAUCAUUGUUACUCAUUGUAUUCUUCACAGGCAUGCGUUGGCAACAAAAACCUUGCCUCCAAAACUGGCAGAAGUAUUAAAAAUUGUUUUAAUGGUUUUGUUCUUUGAACACUGAUGUUGAUGCACGGUUCAUUUUGUGCACCAGUAAAAUAUAUACCUAUGUUUUGAAUUGUAUUUUUCCAAUUAAAAAGGGUUCGGUGAAUGCGCAUAUGAAACUGGUGGGGGUCAGUACCUCCAACAAGGUUAAGAACCACUGCUCUAGGGUCUUAAAUUUGGCAUCGUAGCAGAGUCCAGCACUUUGUCUCCUUCCAUCUCUCUGUCUGCAAAGUGUCCUCCAUCUAUUUAUUUUCUUCGUUGUGCGGUCAUCUCUCACUCUGUUCAUCUCACCUUCGGCCCCGCUCUGUCGCUCUGUUCUUGCUGCUCUGUUCUUGCUUUCUUUGUACCGCAUGGUGAGCACUGACAGCUCUGGCAGAGACAAACUGCUGAUGCUGAGCUUAAAAGUGACCGCCCCUGUGCUGGAGCCACACAGCUGGGUAGCCAGAGAUCCAUCACCACAUGGCAUAGCCAGUACAGCACAUAAAAAUUCUAUUGGCCACCAUAAGACUGGACCAUUAAUUAUCAGUAAAGAUAUUGAUAUACUAUUAUUUAUUGAUAGGCUCUAAUGUUUUUUGUUGUGUGCGCCAUUAUUAAAUUAGUUUAUAGGAGUACCUUUUUAUGUGGUAGACUUGAUCGGAACUCAGGUGGGGGACCCUCGAGUCCAAAAGGCAGGCAGGCAGAAACUGGGUUGGGUGCUUGCAUUUUGCGUUUUCAUCAUUUGUCACGUCUCUUUUCUUUCCAUGUUAUAGGUAAUGUAUUUCCUAUAUCUGUAAAACCUAUAUUGGUUCCCACCAUAGCGUAAAAACCAAGGCUGAGUUUUGGAAUGCAUUGCUGCUACAGGACAUAAAACCAGUCCUCACACCUAUGUGUGAUUUAUCUGUCAUAGUGAAAUUGCCCUGAGAUCUGAUUGGUGAAGCCACAGACACCAUAGGGGUCCCUCCUAAAAUGACUUGUGUUGAUGUAAAGUUAAGACUGUAGUAUUUCUUCGGACUUUGUUCCGAUUUGGCUCGGCCAAAGAAUAGUAUUACGGAUUCAGGCUCUCCAGCUUUCAGCGGUUAGGCCUCCCCAACCUAC